rnacentral:tRNA from 1 species
UCCUCGGUAGCUCAAUUGGCAGAGCGGGUGGCUGUUAACCACUAGGUUCCAGGUUCGAGUCCUGGCCGAGGAGCCA